GAUGAACGCUGACAGAAUGCUUAACACAUGCAAGUCCACUUGAAUUUGGGUUUUUAACUUAGGUUUGGGUGGCGGACGGGUGAGUAACGCGUAAAGAACUUGCCUCACAGCUAGGGGCAACAUUUGGAAACGAAUGCUAAUACCUAAUAUUAUGAUAAUAGGGCAUCCUAUAAUUAUGAAAGCUAUAAGCGCUGUGAGAGAGCUUUGCGUCCCAUUAGCUAGUUGGAGAGGUAACGGCUCACCAAGGCGAUGAUGGGUAGCCGGCCUGAGAGGGUGAUCGGCCACAAGGGGACUAAGACACGGCCCUUACUCUUACGGGAGGCAGCGGCGGGGAAUAUUGGACAAUGGACCGAGAGUCUGAUCCAGCAAUUCUGUGUGCACGAUGAAGUUUUUCGGAAUGUAAAGUGCUUUCAGUUGGGAAGAAACAAAUGACGGUACCAACAGAAGAAGUGACGGCUAAAUACGUG
rnacentral:rRNA from 1 species